ensembl:ncRNA lncRNA:CR46127 long non-coding RNA:CR46127
ACUACUAUUCUUGUAUACUUUGGAAAAACUGUCACAUUGCGCACAAAUUGAAGGGUACAACAUGCCGUCAUUCCACGACCUCGCGCAUGUGCAGCUGAGAGAGAAAUGGGAGGAGAGAGAUAGGGAUUCGAAGAAAGCGGGCGCUGAGAGAAAGUAAGAGGGAGCGAGGAGAGCGCCUUUUAGCCGGCUUUUGCUUGGGUUUUUUGUUGUUGCUUCCCGCUGCUUGUUCAGCCAUAUGACGUUCGAAGCAAAUUGUCUUGCGGUAUUACAUCAGCGCAGAGUAGUCAAACUUUUAUGGCGGCACCUUCACCGCCCAUUCCCACGCCUACUUACCACCCACUUGCCACCCAGCGAGCUACCCAUGCACCCAUCUUCCUGCCCGGCGGCAACAACAAGUGCCGGCUAAGUGUCGCCAAUCGGACGUCGGUUGCAUGCCACACGCUUAUCGAUUCAGCUUGCAUAUGGUUACUGCCAUGCUUAAUUCUUAGUCACUCCUCGGAUCGAUCCAGUGCGAUUCGGCAAAUCCUUGCAGUCAACUGGGCGUCGCCCCGACGUACACUGAAAGAGAUAUCAAACGAAUAAGGCGGAAAUACCAUAUUGAAAAGCAAUUUUUUUCAAGAACGGAUUACAUGUGAUUAAAACUGUGAAAACGAUGGUAGUAGGAGUCUCUAACAAUUAAGUUACAACUUAUGCAUAUAGGAAAUCUUUUUGUUACAGCUUGAGAGUUUUUUGUGGAGUGAAUUAAAUAU